rnacentral:piRNA from 3 species
UGCUGUGUGACCUUGAACAAGUCACUUUUC